rnacentral:rRNA from 1 species
CCUACGGGAGGCAGCAGUGAGGAAUAGUGGUCAAUGGGCGGAAGCCUGAACCAGCCAAGUCGCGUGAGGGAAUAAGGCCCUACGGGUCGUAAACCUCUUUUGCCGGGGAGCAAGGGCCGGGACGCGUCCCGGCCCGGAGAGUACCCGGAGAAAAAGCAGCGGCUAACUCCGUGCCAGCAGCCGCGGUAAUACGGAGGAUGCGAGCGUGAGCCGGAUUUAUUGGGUUUAAUGGGGGCGUAGGCGGGCUUUUAAGUCAGCGGUAAAAAUUCGGGGCUCAACCCCGUCCGGCCGUUGAAACUGGGGGCCUUGAGUGGGCGAGAAGUAGGCGGAAUGCGUGGUGUAGCGGU